GGCCUUGUAGUCAAGAAUGAUACUAAAUUGCAAGUUUAGUGGUGGAGUUUUCCUAAGGCUU
rnacentral:tRNA from 1 species